AGCAUAUGAAUCCCCUUUGCGCAUGUGCGAAGCGAUCAAUCAGUGUUUUCAGCGGCGCCCUCUUGCGGUUAGCAGGGAUGGAUUACACCAGGCGUUAUCAGUCUAAUAAACGAUGCGAUGUCGGCACUACGAUGUAAUAUGUAUAUACGAGUAUAUAUUAACAUAAUAAGAGGGGGGAAAUAAUCAUCGCCUAAAUAACUGGUAAAGCAUUUUAUUUGGAUUUGGCGGAUUUUGAUGCGUGAAAUAAUCUAAUUUGUGCGUGUGAAUGAUUUUGUUAUGAUAAUUCUUGCGUGGCAGGUGCAACGACACGCAAACGCACGCGCACACUGCACAACGUCAGACGGGGAUUAAAGGAUGUGGGUUAUUCCUGAAAUAUCCACGGCGGCUGCGUACAGCGGACUCUUUCUCAGGGAGUAAAAACAGCUGCUCUCACGGGCCAAAUUUGCUAUUGGAUGAUUGACUUUGUUACAUAAAUCAAUCGCGUCAAGUCAAGUGAUGCUGUAAAGAGGAGGUGGAGUCGCCGAUCGAGCCCUCCGAACCGUCGAUGUGCCGCUGAGCGCGGGCGUCUUUCCUGUCAGGCGGCGGCCGAGGAGGAGCGCGAUGGUACCCGGCGCGCCGAGCACCGGCACCAGCAUGCUCCCCGCUUCUGAGGCGGCCAAGAUCUACCAAACCAAUUACGUGCGCAACUCCCGCGCCAUCGGCGUGCUGUGGGCCAUCUUCACCAUCCUCUUCGCCAUCGUCAACGUGGUGUGCUUCAUCCAGCCGUACUGGAUCGGCGACGGUGCCGACACUCCGCAGGCGGGCUACUUCGGCCUCUUCCACUACUGCAUCGGUAGCGGCCUCUCUCGGGAGCUGACGUGCCAGGGAAGCUUCUCGGAGUUCUCCAGCAUCCCGUCGAGCGCCUUCAAGGCCGCCGCAUUCUUCAUCGCAACAUCCAUGGUGUUGGUUCUCGGCUGCAUCGGGUGCUUUACUCUCUUUUUUUUCUGCGGCACCGGCACUGUUUACAAGAUUUGCGGUUGGAUGCAGCUGGCUGCAGGCACGUGUUUGAUCCUGGGCUGCUUGAUCUACCCGGACGGUUGGGACAGCGAUGAGGUGAAGCGAAUGUGUGGCGAGCGGACGGACAAGUACACGUUGGGCGCCUGCUCCCUACGGUGGGCCUACAUCUUGGCCAUUAUGGGCAUCAUGGACGCCCUCAUUCUCUCCUUCCUCGCCUUCGUGCUGGGCAACCGACAGGAUAGCCUUAUGGCUGACGAGCUGCUGGCGGACAAUGCUUUUUCUUCCUAGAGAAUUCCAACAAUGCCAUCUAACCAGCAAGGCAGUUUUCCCAUGCUUCCAAAAGUUUGGGACGUGACCUCUGCGAGAUGGACAAGGACUGCUUGCUUCUUUUUGGGUAGAAUUUUUGCCGGUGUGGUCCACGCGGAUUAACGAGGACUUUUUAUGGACCAAAUUCAUGAUGUAAUUUGCCAUUUUGCUACACUUCUAUGUUUGAUGUAAAGUCGCAGAGGUUUUAAAUUAUGAAAGAAGAAAUAGUUUAUAGUCUGAGCGUAGUGAUUACAUCAAUGUGCCAUCCAUUUCAUGUCGUGGAGUACAAGUCCUUCAAAAAGAAAGAAAAUACGAGAAAAAAAAAUCAACACAAUCCAUCUACCUCUACGGUCAUUAUUGUUUUCGUGGUGACACAAUGGUGCUUUGAGGUACGAAUUUAACUCAUUCCGUUGCCACGCUCGUGACUCACAAUACAUUGUAUAUAAUAAAGUACGUGAAUGACUGGUAUGGUAGUCAUUCUUCGCAGAAGAUGAAGACAUUUUCAACUGUUCCAAUUCAGUGAUACACAAGAUCAGUCAACCACUAAUUGUGCAAGUUCUCCCACUUGAAAAUAUUAGAGAGGCCUGUAAUUGUCAACAUGGGUAAACCUAUGCUACUAUCAGUAACACAAUGCGCUGCCAGGGACUCAAAUCCUGCUCUGCCAGACGUGUCCCCCUGUUGAAGAAAGUACACGUCCAGGCCAGUCUGCGGUUCGCUAGAGAGCAUUUGGAUGAUCCAGAAGAGGACUGGGAGAAUGUGUUAUGGUCAGAUGAAACCAAAAUAGAACUUUUUGGUAGAAACACAAGUUCUCUUGUUUGGAUGAAAAAGAAUACUGAAUUGCACCAUACCCACUGUGAAGCACGGGGUGGAAACAUCAUGCUUUGGGGCUGUUUUUCUGCAAAGGGACCAGGGCGACUGAUCUGUGUAAAGGAAAGAAUGAAUGGGGCCACGUAUCGAGAGAUUUUGAGUGAAAAUCUCCUUCCAUCAGCAAGGGUGUUGAAGAUGAGACGUGGCUGAGUCUUUCAGCAUGACAGUGAUUCCAAACACAUAGCCGAGUGGCUUCGUAAGAAGCAUUUCAAGGUCCUGGAGUGGCCUCGCCAGUCUCUAGAUCUCAACCCCAUAGAAAAUCUGUGGAGGGAGUUGAAAGUCCGUGUUGCCCAACGACAGCCCCAAAACAUCACUGCUCUAGAGGAGAUCUGCAUGGAGGAAUGGGCCAAAAUACCAGCAACGGUGUGUGAAAAGCUCGUGAAGAGUUACAGAAAACAUUUGGGCUCCGUUAUUGCCAACAAAGAGUACAUAACAAAGUACUGAGAUGAACUUUUGGUAUUGACCAAACACAUUUUUUCCACCAUGAUUUGCAAAUAAAUUGUUCAAAAAUCAAACAAUGUGAUUUUAUUUUUUUCCCCCCACAUUCUGUCUCUCAUGGUUGAGGUUUACCCAUGUUGACAAUUACAGGCCUCUCUAAUAUUUUCAAGUGGGAGAACAAUUACUGGUUGACUAAAUACUUAUUUGCCCCACUAUCUAAUUAUAUAUAUCAAGCUAAUAAUUGAGCAAAUUCUCGUUCAAAGUUCUCAUUUUGACAGCAUGUUCUAUAAACAGGUUAAAAUUUCAGACCAUGCUGCCAAUUGGUCUGUGGUUUUCCCUCAUACCAAGUGCAAGUCAACCUUCCACUGAGCAAACCAGUUCCUCCUCCCAUCAGAUCCAGGGCUAAAAAACCUGGUCUAAAGAGCUGCUUCUCCUUGAUUUGGCAUCCGAAAAUAGGGCUUUGCGUUUCUUUACCUUAGCCGAACCUCAAACUUACUCACCGAACGAACCCAGGUUAAGAACCACUGGUUUUGAUGCAUACAGGAAGAACGAACUACAAAGUGGCUUAAACGUACUAAAAUCAAAUAAGGGUGUUAUACAUACACUAUGUGGUUUGAAGCGACCACAAGGCUUAAAAACAGGAAAAAACACGCUCAAACUAUUUUGAGGCAGUUAAGACUCAAUAAAAAUGAAAAUAGUAAGUAUUCGCCCUUGGACCCCACCUACCGGACGUUCAUCUUGGGGGUGGGGGGGCUGUUUUUUUCAUAACGCACCUGGGCCCAGUUCACAUUUGUUCCGCCACUGCACAAGAUGUAUUUCCUCCACCUGUAUGUUUUCAUAAAAAAAGAAAAUUAAAAAAUUGCAGUUUUGAGGCCAGGAAUCUAUACCAAGAAACAGCGCUCGCUAGUGGCCACAACUGAAAGUGCAAACUUAUAGGGUCUACUUUAAAAAAUACCGCAAUUUUAUCGUUUUUAACCUAUCUGCAUGUAUUUUCACGAUCAAAUUAAGAGGCAAAAUGUCCAUAAAAGAGUGGAGUGUAUCACCUUGACAUCAUUUCCGUUAAAUAAAGAGCAAAUUUGAAAAUGCUUCAAUUUCUUCAAAAAUGCAACGUCAAACUGAAGUGUUUAUAAAACUGUCAUAACAGUGAUUUAUUAUAAUGAACCAUGAAAAUAGCCAACCAGUGCAGUGUUUGUGAGCUCCUCCCCUCAGCACAAACACACUCACACACACGAAUAAUAAUAUUAAUAAUAAUAAUAAUAAUAAUAAAAAAUAAACAGGACAAAGUCAAUGAGUCCAGAGAAGGUGGAAAUAAAAAAUAAUGCUACAGUCACGGAAACAUUCAGCUUUGCCAAGAAGAGCGUUCCUAUGUACAACCAUGUUUGAAAAAUGGAGGGGCGCGAUGCCAGCGAAUUGUACAGGCGUAGAAAAAAAAAAAAAAAAAAAAGAACGACAGCAGAUAUUUACAAACGUGUUCUUGGUGAAAGCCGGCGUAACCACCUAUUAUACAUUUCGAUACACUUUCUACAAGUAACGCUCCUUAUUCAAAAAAUAAUAAACUGCUAGCAUAACUGCGGGACCUCUCGAAAGACCGCCGAACACACAAACUCAUUCCCGCGUUCCGAUUUUUUUCGGAUGUGAGACUGAGGAAAAAUUUUUGUCUUCACGGGAGGAAAAAACGGUGUAACACGCCGGUGCCAUUGACGGUGAGAAGAAUUUCAGUGUGUUUAUCACUGAUAGACGUCCAAUCUAUUUGAAGUGGGAGGGUUCCACUUCAAAUGGAUUGGACGUCUAUCGCCGUCGAUGGCAGGCAGAGUUGAAACAGAAGGGCGAGGCGGGGAAAAGGCUGGAAUGUCCAAUGCUAAACGAACAAAGUGCGGCAGGAACAACAGGAACCCGAACGAGACGCACAACAGUGAACUCCUCGCCCGCCCGUUGCGAGAAGGAAGUAGAAAACCAGAAGGGCGCAAAGAGCACCACCAGGGGGCGCCAUCUUUUACAGUAUCACUUCAAGAGGAUGUCAGUCUUUUUUUUUUUUUUUUUUUUUUUUAAAUUUCGAUGAAAUACCCUUUGAA